rnacentral:rRNA from 1 species
UGGGGGAAUAUUGGGGCAAUGGAGGGAACUCUGACCAUCGACGCAACGCCGCGUGAGUGAAGAAGGUUUUCGGAUUGUAAAACUCUUUAAGCGGGGACGAAGAAAGUGACUGUACCCGCAGAAUAAGCAUCGGCUAACUACGUGCCAGCAGCCGCGGUAAUACGUAGGAUGCAAGCGUUAUCCGGAAUGACUGGGCGUAAAGGGUGCGUAGGUGGUUUGCCAAGUUGGCAGCGUAAUUCCGUGGCUUAACCGCGGAACUACUGCCAAAACUGGUAGGCUUGAGUGCGGCAGGGGUAUGUGGAAUUCCUAGUGUAGCGGUGGAAUGCGUAGAUAUUAGGAGGAACACCGGUGGCGAAGCGACAUACUGGGCCGUAACUGACACUGAGGCACGAAAGCGUGGGGAGCAAACAGGAUUAGAUACC